AUUGUCAUGGUAAUUCAUAUUACAGAAAUUAAAUGAUCAAAAUUGUCAUGUUUACAUUUUUUCCCCGAAACUUUCCAGGUGUGGAAACCUACUGUGAUGGCCGACAGGAUGGAGCUCAGUGUUAUGGAGCUUUGGGAGGAACUGUGGUCCUCCAGCUGAUGGACAACACCUCAGGAAUAUCUAGAUACCAAUGGUCAAUCAAAACAACAACAACAACAACAACAAUAAUAAGGUGGACAAAUAAUAUGAUUGUGAUUAAUGCGAUAGCAAACAGAUCCUCCUUUACUCCCAGUGAUGGAACAUUUAGGAUCAACAACCUGAUCUGGACUGAUGGAGGUGAAUAUGAACUUGAAAUCUUUGAUUCAGAUGGAAAUAUAUCAGAGAAGCGGACUCUACAGUUGACCAUUCAAGCAGCAGGGUACUUGCCGAUAAUGGCUGGUGUACUGUCUGCGUUGGUAAUUCUGUUAGUGUUCGGGGUGGCUGUCGUCUGUGCUCAGAAGAAAAAGCAAAACAACAAACCUAAAGAAAAAGAAGACCAUGAACUAACCUAUGCUGAUGUCAGGACGGUGCAGCAGCCGGUGAGGCAGAUGCAGAAAAAGGCAGAGACGGAGGUGGAGGUGGAGUACGGCCAGGUCAAGUUUCCAGAGCGACCUCAGCAGACUGUUGAACCAGCAUGAGAUGAAUGUGUGUACGUCAAGGUCUGUAACGACAGAUCACUCCCUGCUCAUAUGUGGUGUGCAAGCAGCUGUGGUGGUUCUUGCAUUAAUUAGGAUCGCCGUCUAUUUUGCUCGGAAGGAAAGGAAAUACAAGAUGGUCUCUCGAAAGAGAACUCUGUUGUGAUGGUUGAAAGUAGAAGUUCUGCAUCUGAACUUUAACUUUGUGAAUCCAACACCUUAGUGUCGUCUGACUCUUCUCACUCCUCACUAGUUGUUGACUUGGUCAAAGUGGGAUCUUUUACAUAGAAUUAAUUUGAGUGGAAAUACCUUCUUGUUGUGAAAUGUUCAGUGUGUCACUGACUUUGGAGAGUGAUAAAGCUUCCAGAGGCCCACAGCUCCACAGCACAGUUUAUUCUAAAGCAACAUGUCAUAUUGUGGAUAAAGCAUAUUGUCUUAUUGCUACAGCUCUUACUGCUGUACUGCUCUUUUUAUUUUUACUUUUAUUGUAUUUAUUUAAUUUUUUUUAAUUUAAUACGUACUGUGUACAUUUACUUAUACUUAUACUUAUAUUGUUUAUAUUCUAUUUAGAGAAUGUGUAAGAUGCACCAACAACACCAAAACAAAUUCCU
rnacentral:lncRNA from 1 species